UUCCCACCCACCCACCCAUCUACAUUCUUAAUUUCUUCCCCCCAUUUUUCUCCCUAAAACAUUUCCCCAAAAAUCACCGACGCAUAUAAAAACUCACCAACCAAAACCCCUCAUUUUCUCUCUCCUCCGACCACCUUCCGAUCACCGGAAACUAUGGAUUCUCCGGCGACGGUUAGGUUUCCUCUCGGCCGCCAAUCCUCCUACGCCGCGCUCGACAAACUCGACAACAACAACAAUUACUCCGACGAUGACAACGAUAUUAUUCAUCAUCAGAACAAUCGUCGAUUACCGUUGAUUGCCCUAACUGAUGGAUCAUCUGAUGGCACGGUUGAAGAACCCGAGGGAGAAGAUUACGUUGGAGAUGAGAUUGAUAUUCCAGCAAGUGUCAAAUUGAUGUUUGCUGCACAUGAAGGUGAUGUUGAUGGUAUUAAAGAACUUGUUCAACAAUCUGGUGCUGAAGUUAAUUAUCGCGAUAUCGAUAAUCGUACGCCGUUACAUGUUGCUGCUUGUCAGGGUUACGUUGAGGUUGUUGAUGUUUUGAUUCAAAUGGAUGCUGAGGUUGAUCCUAAAGAUCGUUGGGGGAGUACGCCACUUGCAGAUGCCAUAUAUUACAAGAACCACGAGGUGGUGAAGCUUCUGGAGGAACAUGGUGCAAAACCUCCGAUGGCUCCUAUGCAUGUCAAGAAUGCUCGUGAUGUUCCAGAAUAUGAGAUCGAUCCUCAGGAAAUUGAUUUUAGCAACAGUGUUAACAUCAACAAGGGAACCUUUCUUAGAGCAUCAUGGAGAGGGAUAGAAGUUGCAGUGAAAAAGCUCGGGGAUGAAGUAUUCACUGAUGAAGAGAAGUUGCGAGCAUUUAGGGAUGAACUUUCUUUGCUUCAGAGAAUUCGUCACCCAAAUGUAGUACAGUUCUUGGGUGCCGUUACUCAACACACACCAAUGAUGAUUGUUACCGAGUUUUUACCCAAGGGAGAUCUUUGUGAGUUCUUGCAAGACAAAGGAGCGCUAAAACCUAGAACAGCAGUGAGAUAUGCACUUGACAUUGCAAGGGGGAUGAGUUAUUUGCAUGAGAUUAAACCACUUCCAGUAAUACAUUGUGACCUUGAACCUUCCAACAUAUUACGUGAUGAUUCUGGACACCUUAAAGUGGCUGAUUUUGGAGUUAGCAAGCUGCUGAAAGUUUCCAAAGGACUUGAUGAAGACCGGCCAUUAUCUUAUGAAGAUAAUCCAUGCCGGUAUAUGGCACCUGAGCUUUUCCAAAAUGAAGAUUACAACACCAAAGUUGACGUAUUUUCAUUUGCUCUAAUUCUUCAAGAGAUGAUUGAAGGCUGUCCACCCUUUGCCUCAAAGGAUGAAAAAGAAGCUCAAAAGGCAUAUGGUGAAAAGGAGCGUCCACCUUUUAGAGCGUCAGGAAAACUAUAUGCGCAUGGAUUGAGAGAUGGACAGUGGCGGAUCCAGGAAUCUAAAAAUAGUUGGUCACACCGUAUGUAGCUCGGAAUCAGAUAUGAAGACGGGUACGAAGAUGGAAAACACAAAAAUCAAAAUUUAAAAAAGGGGUACGACAUAGAUUCGGAUAAAAGAAAAAACAAUUUAACUAAAUUCAAAAAACGGGUACGACAUAAAUAAGUGACUUACUGAAAACCGACAACGCAGCGGCAAGGCACCACCGACAACAGUUGACCAUAUUUCAACAUGAAACUAGAAAUGCCCAUUUAAACCACACGAACUACUUGGAUGUGCAAGAUUUUAUAUCAUUCACAUACAAUACAUCUACCAUCAUCUAAUCAAGUAUAUAUUCAUCAAACUAAAACUCAAUUACAUCUAAAACGCCAAUAUUAACAAAAACAACCCUCGUCCUUCAUUCAUCCCUACUGGCUAAUACACAUUUCUGCAGAUUUCUCGAUUCACAAUAUCCAACACAAAAUUCUUCAUUCUUCUAAAACACCACCACCUGGAAAUCAAUUAAAUUCCACAUUCAAAAAUUCACGUACAACCAUUUGCGAAAACGACGCCUUUUUAUAGUCUUUUGAUUAAUUCAAUUGAAUAAAAUUACACAACAAAAUAAGGAUCUAAUUCCUAUCUUGAAAACUUAGAACAUCAAAAGUAGAUAAGUUUAAUUGACAGAAUUAAAACGUGAUUUUAAUAGCAAUAAAUAAAUUGAAAACUGCAAAUGACUAUUGAAAAAAGAUAAACAAAAACCUAAAAACAAAAUAGCUCAUCAAGAUUCAAGAACAGUACCUCGAGGCUCGAGGUUGAUACUCGAUCAACAAUGAAAGCCUGCGAAUUGAAGACUUAGGGUUCGACUUCUUCGACAACCGCGAACAGAGAAAUUGAAGAUUGGAGCCUUGAAAUUGAAGGUCAUGAAGAUCUGAAGAUUUGAACUCACGUGUGGCCGAACGACUCAACCGCCGACGACGAAGGAUUAGAGAAUGACCGGACCGCCGACGUCGAAAAGUACAAUGUGCUGAAAAAAAUAGAAUUAAAGCUUUAAUUUUACUUGAGAAAAUUGCGAAGACAGAUCUUAGACAAACAAUAAAAUAGUAAAUUUAAUUCUAGGGUUCAACUAAACCCCAAAAUCUGGAGAUAUAAAAGAGAAUUCUCCCUCUAGUAUGUGGAAGAUCCAAGUUUUCAAUCUUCUAAGCUUAAAUUAAACUUUCUAAUAAACAAACCUUCAAAUUUUGGAAGAUCUGAAUUUCCGAUCUCGCCGAAAAAGUUUAAUCUGGCCGGAUCAAUUUGGGGGAAGCCGAAAGUUUAAUCUGCAAAGGUCGUGAGAUUCGAGAAGGAGAAAGAGAGAGAAAGAGGCGGAAGAAUUAGGGUUUAGCGUGAAUGAAUGAGCAGCGCUGCUUUUGAUUUUUUUUUUUUCAAAAAUAUUAGUUGGUCACGUGACCACUUGGGACCACAUGUAGAUCCGCCACUGGCAGUGGAUGAACCUACUAGGAACAUUUAGUAUAACACCCAUUUUAACUGAGAAUUGGAGCAUUCACCUUGGAUUUCACAAAGCUUUAAGUCUCUAAAUAUUGUUGGGGAAAAGGUGUGUCCUAGAGCAUCUCCUGCAGUGGAGUAAACAGCUGAUGAAUUUAAUGAGGUGUCUUAAAUUUACUGCUGGCAUUUGCACAACUCCAAAGCUAGUGAUUUCUUAAGCAUGAAAUCCUCUAUGCAUUCAGGUGUUGCCUUCUAUAUGUAUGAUAUAGGUGCUUUGUAUAAUUUGUACAGGGUAGCAUAUAACUAUGCUUAGAAAAUAAUAAUCUAGAAACCUACAUUUAUGGAGAUAUUCGAGUACCUAAACUGUGAUAAAUUGACUCAAUCUGAAAAGUAACGGAAAAGGGACCCAAUUCAUAACCAACCUGAACUGAACCUGAACUUUCCAGACCCUAAAGGCCUAAACUGUCCCGUUUGACAUGGUUUGCUUGAGCCUGCAGCUCGUGUUGUACGCUUAACAAGAACCUGAUACAAUGAAAAUACUGAUCUCAAUGUAAAUAUUAAGGUUAUUCUCCAGGUUUUUGGCUAGAUGAUUUCCUGUGGUUGUGGGCCUGUGGCAUACCCUAGCAGGUGUAUUAAGCACUGAAAAAUCAUGUUAUAGAACCAUGAGCAGAUUUUCUAGGGUUAAUCGAAAUGUGCUGGAAAGAAGAUCCAGCAAAAAGGCCAACUUUCAGAGAGAUAAUUGCGAAGCUUGACCAUAUGUACAAUAAUCUUGGUCGUAGAAGGCGUUGGAUAAAGGUUAGGCCACUGAAAUGUUUCCAAAGAAAUGAAUCCAGCCUUGGCAGUUCAUCUUAUGCUAUGUGACUGCUAUUUAUUCUUCUUCAACAAUUCCAAUAACAAUCAGGCGUGC